AAUUAUUUAAUAUAAAAAGUAUAUUUAACUUCCAAUUAAAAAGUCUGUUUAAUACAGAAUAAAUA
rnacentral:tRNA from 1 species